AGGGCCAUACUUUCAGGGAUCAAUUCUAAAGUUGGUUACUACAGAAGUUUCUAUGAUUGUGUAGAGUACCAGAAACUAUGAGGAGGAGGCAUAGCAUUCCUUCCUGAGCUUCAAACCAGCUCUUGGUGUUGCUUUGCUGCAACUGCCACUUGCCAUUGAUGAUUGUUCUUGCUCUGUCUCUGGAGGGAGCAAGGGGGAAGGAAUGCAGUGUGAGUGGC
ensembl:snoRNA U3 Small nucleolar RNA U3